ACAGAGGAUGAGAUGGUUGGAUGGCAUCACCAACUCGAUGUACAUGAGUUUGAGCAAGCUCCGGGAGCUAGUAAAGGACAGGGAAGCCUGGCGGACUGCAGUCCAUGGGGUCGCAAAGAGUCUCACACGACUUACGGACUGAACAACAAAGAAUUGGUGAAUACCCUGGGCGGACAGCUCGGAAAUACCCAGCUCCCCCUGGCGGGCUCUGGCGCCUGGCGCUUCGCCGCUUCUCUGCCCCGCCCUCUAGUGCCGCAGGGGUGUCGGCGCUGGGCUGCUCCGCUCUGCACCAGGCUGCCAGGGACGCAUUUUCUACUGUUUCUCAACUUUUCCCUUCCAGUCCUGAGAGUUCUUGCUCAAGUUCUUGUUUCUUGCCAGAAGAGAGUCACCUUUAAUGGACAACAUUGGUCUUGGGCCCUACUUGGAAUAAAAGUGCUUAAAAAACGUAGAACAUCCGGCUGGAAAGAACAUGCCCAUUUGCAGUAACCAGGAUGGGAUCCAGGCCCCUCGACGAGAGCCUCCGAUUCAGCACCGUGGGGGCCGAUGGCGGGCUGUCGGGGAGCCGUAGCCGGGCCGGGGUGCCCCUCUUCACCACCCGGAUGUCAUUCCCAGCUGUCAGGAGGGAGGUAGCCUUUCUGUUCUAUUCAGGUUCUCAACAGGUUGGGAGGCUGGGCCCAUCCGCGUGCAGAGGAUGGUGUGCAUUACUCCGCCCACCGACUCCAAUACUUCUCUCUCCCGGAAACACCCUCGCAGACACCCGGAGACGCCCUCACAGACACCCGGGAACACCCUCACACACCCAGGAACACACAGACACCCGGGAACGCCCUCACGGACACCCGAAAGUAAUGUUUAACCAGCUUAUAUGAGGAAACAGCAACCCACUCGUGUUCUUGCCUGGAGAAUCCCAAGGAUAGAGGAGCCUGGCGGGCUACAGUCCACGGGGUCGAGAGAGUCGGACACGACUGAGUUACUAAACCAUGAACAUCUCGGCGCGCAGUCAAGCUGCUAAGUUAAUUAACCAUCACAGGGAAAAAUUAUUUCACUGAAGAAGUAACAGGACAAAAUAGGGCGGCCAACCAAAGACCCCAAGAAGCCAAGAAGGCGCUUCGGAGAUGCGGCGUCUGUCUGUGGCUCAGAGGUGAGACCCCAGGAAAGGGCAGGGAGGGGCUCGGAACAACCUGAAGGAGGCGGCAAAGAGGGGCCAAAGGGAGCAGUUGGCAGAUGCCCAUCUGAGGGGGAUUCUGGAGAUUAAAAGGUGACUCGUAAGAACGACAAAGUGUUGAAGGUGCAAGUAAAGGUUACGUAGAAGCUUUAGUGCAUCCCUGGUGCUUAGAGAAGCAAGGGGGGAUGGCCCGUGUCCUGAAUUGGAAUUUUGUGUUUUCCCUACGAAAUCUCACCUGCGCAUAUAACUCGAGACCGCACUGACUUCACAUUAGAAUCACCUGGAGACUCUUCAGAAGGUUAAGUUGGAGUGGGGGAGGGGCAGCGGGUUUUUCAGACCCUCCCCAGGUGAGCUGAGGGUACUGGUGGCCGCGAUAGGAACACUGUGUGGGCACUUAGCGCUGCUGCACCUGCGGGGGAAGCGUGGGGAUGAGGUGGAUAUUUCGGAGACGUGGAGACAUGUUCCCACACGGCUCCUCUGAGGAAACUUCCCCAGCUCACGUUGCCUUUAGGACGUUGCCUGAUGAACUCAUCUGUUGGCCUCGCUGCGGAGACCAUAAUACACCUGUGGCAGGAAGUGGCCAAGAGAUGCUGGUCUGCGCAGUCUGCACAUGCAUGCAAAGGGCUGAAAUAUUUUAAUGAAUGAAAUUUGUCAAAGACUUCCCUGGUGGUCCAGUGGUUAAGAAUCCACCUGCCAGUGCAGAGGACACAGAUUCGAUCCUUGGUCCAGGAAGAUUCCACGUGCCUCAGGGCAAGCCUGAGCGCCGCAACAACUGAAGUCUGUGUGUCCUAGAAUCCAUCCUCUACAACCUGUGCACCACAGCUAGAGAGUAGCUCCCACUCGUGACAACGAGAGAAAGCCCACAUGCUGCAAUGAAGACCCAGUACAGCCAAAAAUAAAAUAAAUAAAUACAUAAAUAAAAGGACCACAAUGUUACAAUAAGAAAGAAAGCUACUUUUUAUUAAAUUAUAGCUGAUUUACAGUAUUGUGUGUGUUAGUUUUGGGUGUACAAAGUGAUUUGGUCAUACAUAUGUAUAUGUUGUUUUUCCUGAUUCUUUCUCGUUAUACUUUACUACAAGAAGUUGAAUGUAGUCCUCUGUUCUAUACAGUAAAACUUUGUUGUUUAUCUCAGAAAGUUACUUUAGUUUCUGAGUUUGGGUGGUGGUGGUGGUGGUGUGAGGACUUUUUGUUUGUUAAGUUUUUGUGUUUAAUUGUGACAACAGAAAAUGGUUGUGAGGAUUUGGGGAAGAAAUACAGAAUAUUCCUGAGGCCAGUUGCUUUAUAAAACCGACCACACAAAAUCUGUUGAUGAAGAAAAAAAGACAUUCUGAUUCCUAUCUGACCGUUUUUAGAUUGGGGCAUGGGGACGAUUAGGGACAGUGCAGGAAAUAACACGGUGUCCACAGAGGAGUGUCCCCUGCCCGUGACCUACAGAUUGCUGCAAACACUCUCUGCAAGUUGCAGGCACAGUUUUGAGUCCCCACAGUGUGGUUCAUGAUGCAAUUUGUAGUCUCAGUUUCUUUUACAAAAUUAUGAUGUUUAAAGCAUCGUGUAAUUAGGUCAGAGGAAAACAGUGUUUAUUCUAUGAGCUGAGCAGAGGCUGCACUUCUGAGUUCUCAUUAACCCAGUGGUUGAUUUGCUACUGCCAAGAGUCUGCUGACAAUGAAGGCAUGAGAGCAGGCCGACAGGUAAUGAUUGCAAAGGAGUUCUUCUUUUUAUGUUUCACUCUUUUAAUUUCAGUGUUGAUUACUUAGAACUUUUACAGACUGUUUGAAUAAACCCAGUAUUCCUGCAUAGAAUGGAUAGAUCACCUUAUUUUUGUUGUUAAUAUUUAAUAUUUUAUUUUUUGUUUUGGGGUUUUAAAUUUUUAAGAUUUUUUUUUAAUUGGAGGAAAAUUGCUUUACAAUGUUG
ensembl:lncRNA